rnacentral:lncRNA from 1 species
UUUGUCGCUGGUCUCUCUGACGACGUAAACCCUCAGGACAAAUCAAUUGCUAACGUAUAUGCCCCCAUUGGCGGGUCCUUUAUAUAGUCAAGUUGUUAAUUCAUAUUGUUUCUUAUAUCAUAAUUCUUCAUAAAUCAUGUUUCAUAUUCUAAUUUCGAUAAUAAAACAUAUAAUCAUGUAGUAUCGAAAUCAAUCAAUAUAAUGC